rnacentral:rRNA from 1 species
GACGAACGCUGGCGGCGUGCUUAACACAUGCAAGUCGAACGAAGAGCGACGGAAGCUUGCUUCUAUCAAUCUUAGUGGCGAACGGGUGAGUAACGCGUAAUCAACCUGCCCUUCAGAGGGGGACAACAGUUGGAAACGACUGCUAAUACCGCAUACGAUCUAAUCUCGGCAUCGAGGAUGGAUGAAAGGUGGCCUCUACAUGUAAGCUAUCACUGAAGGAGGGGAUUGCGUCUGAUUAGCUAGUUGGAGGGGUAACGGCCCACCAAGGCGAUGAUCAGUAGCCGGUCGGAGAGGAUGAACGGCCACAUUGGGACUGAGACACGGCCCAGACUCCUACGGGAGGCAGCAGUGGGGAAUCUUCCGCAAUGGACGAAAGUCUGACGGAGCAACGCCGCGUGAGUGAUGACGGCCUUCGGGUUGUAAAGCUCUGUUAAUCGGGACGAAAGGCCUUCUUGCGAAUAGUGAGAAGGAUUGACGGUACCGGAAUAGAAAGCCACGGCUAACUACGUG